UGGGGAAUUUUGCGCAAUGGAGGCAACUCUGACGCAGCAACGCCGCGUGCGGGAUGAAGGCCCUCGGGUUGUAAACCGCUUUCAGCAGGGAAGACUUCGACUGUACCUGCAGAAGAAGCCCCGGCUAACUACGUGCCAGCAGCCGCGGUAAUACGUAGGGGGCGAGCGUUAUCCGGAUUCAUUGGGCGUAAAGCGCGCGUAGGCGGCUCGCCAAGCGGGAUCUCAAACCUGAGGGCUCAACCCCCAGCAGGAUCCCGGACUGGCGGGCUCGAGUUCGGUAGGGGAAGGCGGAACUCCCAGUGUAGCGGUGAAAUGCGCAGAUAUUGGGAGGAACACCGAUGGCGAAGGCAGCCUUCUGGGCCGUAACUGACGCUGAGGUGCGAAAGCUAGGGGAGCGAACAGGAUUAGAUACUC
rnacentral:rRNA from 1 species